AUGCCCUUCGGGGCUCUUUGGUGAUUCAUGAUAACUAUACGAAUCGCACGGCCUUGCGCUGGCGAUGGUCCAUUCUAAUUUCUUCCCUAUCAACUUUCGAUGUUUGGGUAUUGGCCAAACAUGGUUGCAACGGGUAACGGAGGGUUAGGGCUCGACCCCGGAGAAGGAGCCUGAGAAACGGCUACUACAUCCAAGGAAGGCAGCAGGCGCGCAAAUUACCCAAUCCCGACUCGGGGAGGUAGUGACAAUAAAUACUGAUACAGGGCCCUUUCGGGCCUUGUAAUUGGAAUGAGUACAAUUUAAAUCCCUUAACGAGGAACAAUUGGAGGGCAAGUCUGGUGCCAGCAGCCGCGGUAAUUCCAGCUCCAAUAGCGUAUAUUAAAGUUGUUGUGGUUAAAAAGCUCGUAGUUGAACCUUGGGCCUGGCUGGCCGGUCCGCCUCACCGCGUGCACUGGUCCGGCCGGGCCUUUCCCUCUGUGGAACCCCAUACCCUUCACUGGGCGUGGCGGGGAAACAGGACAUUUACUUUGAAAAAUUAGAGUGCUCCAGGCAGGCCUAUGCUCGAAUACAUUAGCAUGGAAUAAUAAAAUAGGACGCGCGGUUCUAUUUUGUUGGUUUAUAGGACCGCCGUAAUGAUUAAUAGGGACAGUCGGGGGCAUCAGUAUUCAACUGUCAGAGGUGAAAUUCUUGGAUCAGUUGAAGACUAACUACUUGCGAAAGCAUUUUGCCAGGGAU
rnacentral:rRNA from 1 species